rnacentral:rRNA from 1 species
UACUCCUACGGGAGGCAGCAGUGGGGAAUAUUGCGCAAUGGGCGAAAGCCUGACGCAGCGACGCCGCGUGCGGGAUGAAGGCCUUCGGGUUGUAAAGCUCUUUCGGCCGGGAAGAAAUCGCAUGGGUGAAUACCCUGUGUGGAUGACGGUACCGGAACAAGAAGCACCGGCUAACUACGUGCCAGCAGCCGCGGUAAU